rnacentral:rRNA from 1 species
GUUAAUCGGAAUUACUGGGCGUAAAGCGCACGCAGGCGGUCUGUUAAGCUAGAUGUGAAAGCCCCGCGCUCAACGUGGGAGGGUCAUUUAGAACUGGCAGACUAGAGUCUUGGAGAGGGGAGUGGAAUUCCAGGUGUAGCGGUGAAAUGCGUAGAGAUCUGGAGGAACAUCAAUGGCGAAGGCAACUCCCUGGCCAAAGACUGACGCUCAUGUGCGAAAGUGUGGGUAGCGAACAGGAUUAGAUACCCUGGUAGUCCACACCGUAAACGAUGUGUGUUAGACGUUGGAAAUUUAUUUUCAGUGUCGCAGCGAAAGCGAUAAACACACCGCCUGGGGAGUACGACCGCAAGGUUAAAACUCAAAUGAAUUGACGGGGACCCGCACAAGUAGUGGAGCAUGUGGUUUAAUUCGAAGAUACGCGCAGAACCUUACCAACACUUGACAUGUUCGUCGCGACUUUAAGAGAUUAAAGUUUUCGGUUCGGCCGGACGAAACACAGGUGCUGCAUGGCU